rnacentral:misc_RNA from 1 species
GCAUCCCCUUUAACGCAGCGAAAUGCGAUAAGUAAUGUGAAUUGCAGACUUCAGUGAAUCAUCGAAUCUUUGAACGCACCUUGCGCUCCUUGGUAUUCCGAGGAGCAUGCCUGUUUGAGUGUCAUUAAAUUCUCAACC